UUCAAGUGAGUGGCGAACGGGUGAGUAACACGUGGACAACCUGCCUCAAGGCUGGGGAUAACAUUUGGAAACAGAUGCUAAUACCGAAUAAAACUUAGUGUCGCAUGACACAAAGUUAAAAGGCGCUUCGGCGUCACCUAGAGAUGGAUCCGCGGUGCAUUAGUUAGUUGGUGGGGUAAAGGCCUACCAAGACAAUGAUGCAUAGCCGAGUUGAGAGACUGAUCGGCCACAUUGGGACUGAGACACGGCCCAAACUCCUACGGGAGGCUGCAGUAGGGAAUCUUCCACAAUGGGCGAAAGCCUGAUGGAGCAACGCCGCGUGUGUGAUGAAGGCUUUCGGGUCGUAAAGCACUGUUGUAUGGGAAGAACAGCUAGAAUAGGAAAUGAUUUUAGUUUGACGGUACCAUACCAGAAAGGGACGGCUAAAUACGUGCCAGCAGCCGCGGUAAUACGUAUGUCCCGAGCGUUAUCCGGAUUUAUUGGGCGUAAAGCGAGCGCAGACGGUUUAUUAAGUCUGAUGUGAAAGCCCGGAGCUCAACUCCGGAAUGGCAUUGGAAACUGGUUAACUUGAGUGCAGUAGAGGUAAGUGGAACUCCAUGUGUAGCGGUGGAAUGCGUAGAUAUAUGGAAGAACACCAGUGGCGAAGGCGGCUUACUGGACUGCAACUGACGUUGAGGCUCGAAAGUGUGGGUAGCAAACAGGAUU
rnacentral:rRNA from 1 species